rnacentral:rRNA from 1 species
CGGCAAGCCUGAUCCAGCAAUGCCGCGUGAGUGAUGAAGGCCUUCGGGUUGUAAAGCUCUUUCGCACGCGACGAUGAUGACGGUAGCGUGAGAAGAAGCCCCGGCUAACUUCGUGCCAGCAGCCGCGGUAAUACGAAGGGGGCUAGCGUUGUUCGGAAUACUUGGGCGUAAAGGGCGCGUAGGCGGUGUGUCAAGUCAGGCGUGAAAGCCCCGGGCUCAACCUGGGAACCGCGCUUGAGACUGGCACGCUAGAGUUCGGGAGAGGAUGGUGGAAUUCCCAGUGUAGAGGUGAAAUUCGUAGAUAUUGGGAAGAACACCGAUGGCGAAGGCAGCCAUCUGGACCGACACUGACGCUGAGGCGCGAAAGCGUGGGGAGCAAACAGGAUUAGAUACCCUGGUAGUCCACGCCGUAAACGAUGAGUGCUAGACGUUGGGGCCCUUAGGGCUUCGGUGUCGCAGCUAACGCGUUAAGCACUCCGCCGUGGGGAGUACGGCCGCAAAGGUUA